AGUCGAGGGGUAUAGGUUUUCGGACCUAGAGACCGGCGCACGGGUGCGUAACGCGUAUGCAAUCUACCUUGUACAGGGGGAUAGCCCAGAGAAAUUUGGAUUAAUACCCCAUAGUGUAAUGAAAUCGCAUGGUUUUAUUACUAAAGUUCCAACGGUACAAGAUGAGCAUGCGUCCUAUUAGCUAGUUGGUGUGGUAACGGCAUACCAAGGCUACGAUAGGUAGGGGUCCUGAGAGGGAGAUCCCCCACACUGGUACUGAGACACGGACCAGACUCCUACGGGAGGCAGCAGUGAGGAAUAUUGGACAAUGGGCGCAAGCCUGAUCCAGCCAUGCCGCGUGCAGGAAGAAGCAUCUAUGGUGUGUAAACUGCUUUUGUACGGGAAGAAACACCUCUACGUGUAGAGGCUUGACGGUACCGUAAGAAUAAGGAUCGGCUAACUCCGUGCCAGCAGCCGCGGUAAUACGGAGGAUCCAAGCGUUAUCCGGAAUCAUUGGGUUUAAAGGGUCCGUAGGCGGUUUAAUAAGUCAGUGGUGAAAGCCCAUCGCUUAACGAUGGAACGGCCAUUGAUACUGUUAGACUUGAAUUAUUAGGAAGUAACUAGAAUAUGUAGUGUAGCGGUGAAAUGCUUAGAUAUUACAUGGAAUACCAAUUGCGAAGGCAGGUUACUACUAAUGGAUUGACGCUGAUGGACGAAAGCGUGNGGAGCGAACAGGAUUAGAUACCCUGGUAGUCCACGCCGUAAACGAUGGAUACUAGCUGUUCGGAGCAAUCUGAGUGGCUAAGCGAAAGUGAUAAGUAUCCCA
rnacentral:rRNA from 1 species